CCUAAUGGCCAACGUGUUGAUCAGCUCUUUGAAAAAAACUUCUUCAUCUUUCAUCUCUCAGGAUAUUGAGGGAACAGGAAAAUAUUUUACCAUUUAACUCCAGGCCUUGCCAACGGUUUUAGCAGAGCAUUAAUCCCAUAAAUCAGUCAUACCUUGUGCUCUCCACAGGCUCCGCAGUUGGUGAACAGCAGAUAAGCCCUUAGAGGGUGUUUUGAAAGCCAAGUAAAUACAUCUGUGUCAGAUCAAAGGCGGAGCUGAGUUCCAGGGUUGGAUCUGUCCUGCCGGUAGCCCAGUCUUGUUUUGACCAGAGAAUGAAGAUUAAUAGACCUUUUAAUUGUAUUCAAGCAAGUACAUUAUGAGAUUAUCACCUCAGAAGUGCCAUUUAGCC